GUGGGGAAUUUUGGACAAUGGGCGAAAGCCUGAUCCAGCCAUGCCGCGUGCAGGAUGAAGGCCUUCGGGUUGUAAACUGCUUUUGUACGGAACGAAAAGACUCUGGUUAAUACCUGGGGUCCAUGACGGUACCGUAAGAAUAAGCACCGGCUAACUACGUGCCAGCAGCCGCGGUAAUACGUAGGGUGCAAGCGUUAAUCGGAAUUACUGGGCGUAAAGCGUGCGCAGGCGGUUAUAUAAGACAGAUGUGAAAUCCCCGGGCUCAACCUGGGAACUGCAGUUGUGACUGUAUAGCUAGAGUACGGAAGAGGGGGAUGGAAUUCCGCGUGUAGCAGUGAAAUGCGUAGAUAUGCGGAGGAACACCGAUGGCGAAGGCAAUCCCCUGGGCCUGUACUGACGCUCAUGCACGAAAGCGUGGGGAGCAAACAGGAUUAGAAACCCGGGUAGUCC
rnacentral:rRNA from 1 species